CAGAGCUGAAGCAAGACCCGCCGUCUCCAGAGAGCUCAGAUAGCGGCGUAGACACCAGCCCAGCUGGCUUCGAGUGUGAGGACCCGCCGGCCCGGCCGGGCCUGGCCGUCUGCUCACCACACCCCGGACCCCUGAGGCGGGAGCCGGCUCACCGUGGUGGCCUCGCCGCAGUCUCACCAGCCGCCGGGGCAGCCACGGUUGUGGCGCACACAUACGUGGUGAGGGCAGCGGCAGUAGCGCCCGGUCAGCGCACUGCUCCAUC